rnacentral:lncRNA from 1 species
CAUGAAGACCAGAAGGAAGUGACACAAGUUUUCAAAUGCUGAAAGAAAAGUCUUAUCAAACCAGGAUUUUAUAUUCAACAAAAAAUUCCUUCAGGAAUGAAGGAUUAACAAAGAUAUAGUCAAAUGAGGGAAAACUAAGAGAGUUUAUUGCCAUCAGACCUGUGCUAAAAGAAUUGCUUAAAAAAAUUCUUCAGACAGAAGGGAAAUGAUAAGAAAUGGAACUUGGAACUUCAAAAAUAAAAGAAGAUCAACAGAAAUAGCCACAUAAAUAGAGUAGACUAUUUUUCUCCUUUUGAGUUCUUUUUUCCUUUUUUCUAUUUGUGUAAAUUUAGGGAGUACAAGCACAGUUUUGUUACAUGGAUACUUUGCAUAGUGGUAAAACCUGAGCUUUUAAUGUAACCACCACCCAAACAAUGUCAUUUGUACACCUUAAGUAAUUUCUCAUCCCUCACCCUCUUCCUACUCUUCCUCCCUUCCAAGUAUUCAGCCUUUAUUAUUCCACACUCUAUGUCCAUGUGUACACCUUUUUAAGGCCCUAUUUAUAAGUGAGAACAUGUGGUAGUAUAUAACUAUAUUCCAUGGAAUGCUACUCAGCCAUAAAAAAAGAGUGAAAUCAUGUCUUUUGCAGCAACAUGGGUGGAACUAGAGACCAUUAUCUUAAAUCAAAUAACUCAGAAACAGAAAGCCAAAUACUACCACGUGUUCUCACUUAUAAGGAGAGCAGAGGAAGACAGAUUACCCCAAGAAUCUAGGAUAUGGGUGCAAAAGAAAGGAUGGAAUCUUCAACUCCAAAAUGCAGCAUCACCCUGUUUUAUCUAAGUUAUCUAGUUUACCAGCCUGGAGUUAUCUGUAGUAUGUGAUAGUAUAGUAUAGCAUACAUUUUCCCCCUUUUAGUAUCUACAUGGUUUGUAAUGAUUUCCCCUCUUUCAUUCUUGGGGUAAUCUGUCUUCCUCUACUCUCCUGACACAUACUUUGGGCAGAUCCCACCUCUAGGUACAGAAUGUGAUUGGCAAUUCCUGUGGACCAAUCUGAGCAUUGCUUUCACUUGGCUGUCCUGAUUGCUUUGAAUGGAGAGAGUAAGGCGCAUCAGGCAGAUACAAAGCAUUUUGCUGAGAUUACUGGCACUAUAUAAACCCUGCACUCCCAGGGAGCAGUAGAAAUCUUGAGAAUGGAUCCAUUAGAGUGUAAGGCAGACGUUAAAGAUGGAGAAACCAACUUCUAAUGACAGCUUGGAGCAUCUGGAUCUAGUCCCAGACUUUUUAGUUAUUGGCCAUGGGUGCAGUGUCUGCCAUGCAGAGGAGAAGCCGCUGGUUGUAGCAGCAACACUCCAGCUUACCUGGAGCAAAGUGCAUAAAGGAAAGGCCAUGUGAGGACACAGCAAGAAGGCGGCCCUCUGCAACCUGACCAGCAAGAUCUCACCAGAAACCACCCCUGCUUGCACUGUGAUCUUGGAAUUCUAGCCUCUAGAACUGUGAAACAAUAAACUGUUGUUUAAGCCACUUGGCCUGUGGUAUUUUGUUACAGCAGCCUGAACUGACUAAUACAAUCACUAAAUUAUCAAAAAGUGGAAUUAAAAGUGUUAUAUCUGUUUCACUCAAGAUAUGAGUAGGAAACAGAGAAGAGUUAGACAAAAAAAAAACAAAAAACAGAUAAACAGAAAUUUAGUAAAUAUUUGCUGAGUAAUGAAUUUAGACAUUUUGCUUUUUGAUAUGCUUUCAAGAACUUCAAUGAGGUAUAACUGACAUUCAAUAAACCACAAUUAUUAAAAUGUACAAUUUGAUGUGCUUUGCCAUAUGAAACCAUCAUCAAAAAUCAAGAUCAUAAACACAACUAUCACCUUCCAAAUCUCCUUGGAUACCUAUAAUUCCUCCGUCUGCCCCUUCCUAAUCUGCCCCCUGCCAUCCUACAAGAGGAAACCUCUGAUCUGUUUUCUGGCACUAUAGAUCUGUAGGUUAAUGAUAAUUUUCUAGAAUUUUAUAUAAAUAGAAUCAUAUGGGAUGUAAUCUUUUUUUGAUUUUUUUCCACUCACCAUCAUUAUUCUGAGAUUCAUCCAUGUUGUUGCUUAUAUCAGUGUUUUAUUCCUUUUGAUUACUGAGUGAUAUUCUGUUGUGUAUACUGUCAUUCGUUUAUUCAUUUAUAUGUUGAUGGACUUUUGGCUUGUUUCCAGUUUUAGGCUAUUACCAAAUAAAGUGCAAAUCUUUCUAUGGAUAGUUUCAUUUUUAUUGGAUCAACUAGGAGGUGUAUAUUUAACUGUUAAACUGCCAAUUUUUUUCCAAAGUGGCUGUACCAUUUCACCUCCUGCCAGCAGUGCAUGAGAGUCCUAGUUCCUCCAAAUCCUAGCCAACACCUGACGGUCAUUUUAAUCUGAGCCAUU